GCCUCUACAAGUGUGACAUCAGCGGUCAUGGAGAGUCUCCAUCCAGCUGGAUCACUGUCACAGAAAAACCUCCAACCACAUCUGUCCCUACCACCACAUCUCUACCCCCUGACCCCUCCCUCCAGCUUCUGAUCCGAGUGGUCCUCCGUGUGGUGGUGUUCUCUCCAUACUUCCUCUCCACUCUCCUCCUGGUGUCAUUAUAUCGAUGCAGAGCCAGAGAAAGCCAUCAAACUCUGACUGAACAGGAAUUGGAUGAUGGCUAUGAAUACAUUUGUGAUGUCAUCACACAGUAUCAACCCUGAAUUUCUCUUCUGAUGUUCCCAGCUGUGGUCAGAUCUGCUGCAUUUACUCGUUUUGUAUUUUGUUUUUUAUCACUUCAUGUUUAAAAGUGGAGAAGAACAUCUGCCAACACAGACAGCACAUCUGUUGUUUCUUGUGGUGUUUUCAAAACAUCAUCAGCUGCUUAUCAGCUACACACACCUGAUUCUUUCAGCUUUGAUACUCACUGUAAUGGUGACUGAUGAACUGCCAUGCAGUGUUAUGCAGCACCUUCUCAGGUCAUGCAUCUGUGUGAUGGCACAGGUCCAAACACGAGGCUGGAAGAUCCUGCCAGAUGUUUUCUACAUCAAUUUUCUACAUCAGUUAAAGUUAAAUUAAGCUGACCUUUUUUUCUUAAAGCAGUUCAUUUUACGAGUUUAAACAUUUGACGAUUUUAUUUUCUACAGUGAUUAAAAGUUGUGUUUCUGAGAUUUGCAAAUCAUUGCAUUAUGUGAUUCUUUAAAUUUUACACAGCAUCCUAUUUUUGGAAUUGGGAUUAUAAAACUGUUUUGGUUGCAGUUUUUGAUUAGAACUAAGUCUGUACUUAUGAAGCUACGAAGUCUCCAACAUGAAAAAAUUGUGAAAGGUGGUCAAAUUUUGAACCACCCUUUUUACUUUUAGCAUAUAUUGUUUUUUUAACAUAUACUGUGCCCUGCCACUGUGAGGCAAAGAAGCAAAGAGUAGUCACCAUAUCUAACUAGAAAUGAUCAUAAUUCCCAAUCCCGCUGGCAUCUGCUGUGGAAAAAUAAACUCACCAUUGAAACCAAAACUGAUGUCCUGAGAUUUAUUGAUAAAAUCAUUUGCAAAGGAAUCAAUGCAGAAUGAAAAGAAGAGAAAAAAACUCCAUUAAACUCAUGAGUGGAUAGAAUCAGCUGUAGGAAGGUUUUCUUUUUGUUUUUUUUGUUUUGUUUUUGUCAUGGUCAUGUAGGUACCUGCCUGAUACAAUGAGAUUAAAUAAGAUGAAAUACUAUUUUCCCACAGUGUCAAGAGACACAAACUUACUAACUGCUGAAAAGAAGCUGAUUUUAAACAAGCCAACAACACUUGUCACACACAGCUGUGUACUGGGGAGCUAAUACAAAUUCGUCGGGGCGAUCGUGGCUUAAGAGUUGGGAGUUCGCCUUGUAAUCGGAAGGUUGCAGGUUCGAGCCCCGGCUCGGACAGUCUCGGUCAUUGUGUCCUUGGG